rnacentral:rRNA from 1 species
CAGUCGCCGCGGUAAUGCGAAGGGGGCUAGCGUUGCUCGGAAUGACUGGGCGUAAAGGGUGCGUAGGCGGUUUGAUAAGUUUGAUGUGAAAUCUCUGGGCUCAACCCAGAGUCUGCAUCGAAAACUGUCGGGCUUGAGUAUGGGAGAGGUGAGUGGAAUUUCCGGUGUAGCGGUGAAAUGCGUAGAUAUCGGAAGGAACACCUGUGGCGAAAGCGGCUCACUGGACCAUUACUGACGCUGAUGCACGAAGGCUAGGGGAGCAAACAGGAUUAGAUACCCCGGUAGUCCCUGUCUCUUAUAC